GGAGUUGACCAGACAGUCGCCGCUUUACCUCUCUUCGGGAGAAGUAAAGGGGAGGAAAGUCCGGGCUCCAUAGGGCAGGGUGCCAGAUAACGUCUGGGAGGUGAAAGCCUACGACCAGUGCAACAGAGAGCAAACCGCCGAUGGCCCAGUUUUCUGGGAUCAGGUAAGGGUGAAAGGGUGCGGUAAGAGCGCACCGCGCGACUGGUAACAGUUCGUGGCACGGUAAACUCCACCCGGAGCAAGACCAAAUAGGGGUUCAUGUGGUACGGCCCGUAUCGAACCCGGGUAGGUUGCUUGAGCCAGUGCGCAAGUGCUGGCCUAGAUGAAUGGCUGUCCAAGACAGAACCCGGCUUAUCGGUCAACUUCACAA
rnacentral:RNase_P_RNA from 1 species